rnacentral:rRNA from 1 species
UACGGAGGUGGCAAGCGUUGCUCGGAAUCACUGGGCGUAAAGGGCGCGUAGGCGGGGAGGUAAGUCGGGUGUGAAAUCCCUCGGCCCAACCGAGGAACUGCGCCCGAGACUGCUUCUCUUGAGUCCCGGAGAGGAAGGUGGAAUUCCCGGUGUAGCGGUGAAAUGCGUAGAUAUCGAGAGGAACACCUGCGGCGAAGGCGGGUUGCUGGGCUGACACUGACGCUGAUGCGCGAAAGCCAGGGGAGCGAACGGG